AGGACGAACGCUGGCGGCGUGCUUAACACAUGCAAGUCGAGCGGAAAGGCCCUUCGGGGUACUCGAGCGGCGAACGGGUGAGUAACACGUGAGUAAUCUGCCCCUAGCUCUGGGAUAGCUCCGGGAAACCGGGAUUAAUACCGGAUACGACCACUUUAGACAUCUGUUGUGGUGGAAAGAAUUUUGGCUAGGGAUGAGCUCGCGGCCUAUCAGCUUGUUGGUGGGGUAAUGGCCUACCAAGGCGACGACGGGUAGCCGGCCUGAGAGGGCGACCGGCCACACUGGGACUGAGACACGGCCCAGACUCCUACGGGAGGCAGCAGUGGGGAAUAUUGCGCAAUGGGCGAAAGCCUGACGCAGCGACGCCGCGUGGGGGAUGAAGGCCUUCGGGUUGUAAACCCCUUUCAGCAGGACGAAGCGAAAGUGACGGUACCUGCAGAAGAAGCGCCGGCUAACUACGUGCCAGCAGCCGC
rnacentral:rRNA from 1 species